UGUGAAAGUACAGGGAGGAGCAAUUACAAGGGCAGCUCCUUAUGAGGAGGGCACUAGCUUUAGCCAACAGGAAACAGGGUGGCUAAGCGACUAGGCACACACAGGACUCACGGUAUGUCUUGUUGUGGAUACUAGGCGGCGGCAGGAUGUUUGAGCAGCUCCUCCACCCUAUCUAUCCCUGGUAACAGCUUGAGGGGAGUGUGUGGCUGACUCACCUCACUUCUUCCCCAGGGCAGGGCACAGAGGGGAAGACCCUGGGCUUCCUGAGGUGAUGGGCAGGGACCCUUUGUGGGCUCUGGCAUCUAGGAAAAAGGCUCUCUAGAGCUGAGGGACUUUGCUGGCUCUGCUAACUCCCUGAUUAGGGGAGCUCAUAGUAAACCUGUGAACUUCACUCCCUAGUGUAAAAGGGGAUGGAUGUUUAGCUAGGAAUGCACAAAUACUGUAAUGGAACAAAUGCCAGGUCGAUAGUAAUCAGUAUCUGUGCUGGCUGUCACCUACCUGUGCCCUGGAUAGGCCUUUACCUCACUGUUCCUGACCUGCUAGACAGAGGACUUAGUUAGGUGCUUUAUCAUCAAUUUUUACUUUGGGUGAGAGGAAAAAGACAGCUCUAGUGGGUCCAAACUGCACGAGAAAGUGGUACUUGUUUCUCACCACAUAAUAUAGUGUAGGCCAGGCGUGGUGGCACAAGCCUAUAAUCCCAGCACCUGAGAGCCUGAGGCACAAGGAUCACUAAGAGUUAAAGGCCAUCCUGAGCUACACAGUGAGUUCAAGGUUAGCCUGAACAUGUCUUUUAAAAAAAAGGGAAGCCGCGUAUGGUGGUGCAUGUUUGUAAUCCAACACUCAGGAGGCUAAGGCUGGAGGAUUGUUCAAGGCCAGCCUGGGCUACAAAAGUGAGCUCAAGAUCGGCCUGAACUAUACAGUGAGACCUUGUCUCAAAAGUCAAAAAAAAAAAAAAACCACUAGCAACUGCAAGGUUAUAAGUUUGAUCCUUGGUACCAAAAAGAAAAAAAAGAAACAAAUUCUCUAUCUUGGGGUUGUUCAGAGGAUGAAACAGGCACCCCACAGAGAAGUAGUCACCUGCAUUCACAGGUGAAUGAAUGCCAAAGUGGGCAGCUGGGUGGAAACUGUCACACCUGCUUCUGUUCACUUUCUUCCAGUAGAAUUUGAAGGGGCAGAAUUCAAGGCACCUGCUCUAGGGCUGGAUGUGCGAUGAUCAGAUGCCAGCUGAAAGUCUGCGCAAUGUGGGAAGUCUCCAUAGGCCAGCUGGCAACCAUUGGCAACCAGCAAGAUCUGGUGGCUGAAGAUGCAUUCAACCUGAAGGUCAAGUUCAGGCCUCCAGAGGCUGAUUUUCAGUUAAGACCAGAGAGCAGGCUGCCACUCAUUCUAUCAGACUACCUCUGCCAAGAAGUGGCAACUCCACAGAUGAAAAGUGUUCCCUCCUCCAGAAACACAUUUCUGAAUCCUAGAGAGCAAGCUAGUAAGUACUGAUGUAGCCACACCUCUGACUCACUGCCCUAUUCGCCCCAUUCUCCUGAGCAUUUCCGCAUUUCCACUGGAUCACAAUGAACACAAUCAAAUCUCUUUCCUGCCCUCUGACCUGGCCCGUCCUGGGGUGUCCAACGUGCAGCCCCUGAAACCGGGUGGUGAGCUGGCAGAAGGCAACUCCAUUUGGAGCCUCCCGCUGUCUCCAUGUCCUUUUCAUCUUCUGGGGCCCAGAGGCUCCCACUGCUGGGC